CCUACGGGAGGCAGCAGUGAGGAAUAUUGGUCAAUGGGCGAGAGCCUGAACCAGCCAAGUCGCGUGAAGGAUGACGGCCCUACGGGUUGUAGACUUCUUUUGCCAGGGAGCAAAUGAGUCCACGUGUGGGCUUAUCGAGAGUACCUGAAGAAAAGGCAUCGGCAAACUCCGUGCCAGCAGCCGCGGUAAUACGGGGGAUGCGAGCGUUAUCCGGAUUGAUUGGGUUUAAAGGGUGCGUAGGCGGACUAUCAAGUCAGCGGUAAAAAUUCGGGGCUCAACCCCGUCGUGCCGUUGAAACUGGUGGUCUUGAGUGGGCGAGAGGUAUGCGGAAUGCGUGGUGUAGCGGUGAAAUGCAUAGAUAUCACGCAGAACUCCGAUUGCGAAGGCAGCAUACCGGCGCCCAACUGACGCUGAAGCACGAAAGCGUGGGUAUCGAACAGGAUUAGAUACCCUAGUAGUC
rnacentral:rRNA from 1 species